rnacentral:rRNA from 1 species
UACAGAGGUCUCAAGCGUUGUUCGGAUUCAUUGGGCGUAAAGGGUGCGUAGGCGGCGCGGUAAGUCGGGUGUGAAAUCUCGGGGCUUAACUCCGAAACUGCAUUCGAUACUGCGGUGCUUGAGGACUGGAGAGGAGACUGGGAAUUUACGGUGUAGCAGUGAAAUGCGUAGAGAUCGUAAGGAAGACCAGUGGCGAAGGCGGGUCUCUGGACAGUUCUGACACUGAGGCACGAAGGCCAGGGGAGCAAACGGG